AUUGAACGCUGGCGGAAUGCUUUACACAUGCAAGUCGAACGGCAGCACGGGUGCUUGCACCUGGUGGCGAGUGGCGAACGGGUGAGUAAUACAUCGGAACGUACCCAGUUAUGGGGGAUAUCUAACCGAAAGGUUAGCUAAUACCGCAUACGCCCUGAGGGGGAAAGCGGGGGACCGUAAGGCCUCGCCGAAUUGGAGCGGCCGAUGUCUGAUUAGCUAGUUGGUGAGGUAAAGGCUCACCAAGGCGACGAUCAGUAGCAGGUCUGAGAGGAUGAUCUGCCACACUGGAACUGAGACACGGUCCAGACUCCUACGGGAGGCAGCAGUGGGGAAUUUUGGACAAUGGGCGAAAGCCUGAUCCAGCCAUUCCGCGUGAGUGAAGAAGGCCUUCGGGUUGUAAAGCUCUUUCGGCAGGGAAGAAACGGUCUAGGUUAAUACCUUGGGCUAAUGACGGUACCUGAAGGAGAAGCACCGGCUAACUACGUGCCAGCCGCCGCGGUAA
rnacentral:rRNA from 1 species